rnacentral:lncRNA from 1 species
UAUAUAAAGCAUGGCCAAAAUCACAACCAUACCUCACAUUAUCACAACCUCGCCUUCACUCUCUCCCUCCUCCCUUUCUCGGCUCCACCCACAACCGCCAACAUCACCACCAUUCUACCACCAUCUCAUCCAUUUUUGAACUUCCUUCAAGUGUAGAAGAAGGAUCAAAGGAGCUUGAACUUGUGGUGCUUCAAAAGGGCUUGUUUCUUGCUUGUUCUUCAUCUUUUUCUCAUCAUCUUCAUCACUAGAUCCUACCCUAGCCUUGUGCAAGUAGUCACGACGUUAAUUAAGCAAAUCCGGUGAAGUUUACGAUGCAAGGAACACAAAGUUGUAACUAGAAGUGGAUGUGCGCGCGACUUUACUCAUGCUUGUGGAUGUCGCUUAUGUUUAUCUUUAAAUAAAGCUGUAAACUUUUAAGACAAUGUUUUAUGCUAUCUCGCGAUGUAAACGCUAACUUAUGUUUUCAAAUUAUAAAAUGUUUGGUAUUU